UACAGAGGUCUCAAGCGUUGUUCGGAUUCAUCGGGCGUAAAGGGUGCGUAGGCGGCGGGGCAAGUCUGAUGUGAAAUCCCGGGGCUCAACCUCGGAACUGCAUUGGAUACUGCCUUGCUAGAGUACUGGAGAGGAAACUGGAAUUUACGGUGUAGCAGUGAAAUGCGUAGAUAUCGUAAGGAAGGCCAGUGGCGAAGGCGAGUUUCUGGACAGUUACUGACGCUGAGGCACGAAGGCCAGGGGAGCAAACGGG
rnacentral:rRNA from 1 species